GCGGGUAUAGUUUAGAGGUAAAACUGCAGCCUUCCAAGCUGUUGUCAGCGGUUCGAAUCCGCUUACCCGCU
rnacentral:tRNA from 1 species